rnacentral:lncRNA from 1 species
CCGUCGUUCGUCAAUGUCAUGGUUACUUCUGUUAAGUUGUGGAUUUCAGUCGUUCGGUUAUAUCUCUAAGUCCCUGGAGUCAUAAAAUAAAUAGAAGCUUAUAUUAUGUAAAUAUAAGCGCUGUUUAUAUUUAAUGACAUCAUAAUCUGCAUGGGUGUAGCACAGGUUUUGGUACUGAUAAUCCCCUGGACUACAGUCUACAUGAUCACUCCUUAUUUGGUUAUAAGGCAAGGAGUGAUACAUUCCAUUCUCAAAUUUCACAAGGAUGCUAGGUAGUUGGUCAUUUUGAGUUUUGCUGCUGACAGGGAAAGUCAAACAUAAGUUGUCAUAAAGUUACAAAAUACCCACCCACCUCCCUUUAAUCAACUUCAACUACUCACUGUAUAUGGGAGCAGUCUCAGCAAACCAGUGGUUUUCUUCAAUUUCAAAACUCCCUUUCGAAAUUGACCACUGGUCUAAUUUCUCAUUUCCCCCAAGUCAUUAAAUGUAAUACAUCUACAUUUAUUUCUCUCUCCACCGUCAAUCUAACCCCCUUUAUCGUAGCCACCUGCUAUGAGAUGGAGCAACGCUUCAUACCCUUAUAGGAACUCAUCUGGUUCCGGUUGGUUGACGGAGUGUCCAUGUCCAUGGGGCUUGGUCCAUCUACACCAAGUGUCGUCGACAGGGCCUGGAGCUAAAUUUCCCUUAGCUGAGUACUUGACUCCCAAGGGCCAAAUUAUUUAUAUGUUUUAUUAAUAAAAUAUAGAAAUUAAAUAAUCUUGUUGUCAGCAGCAAACUCACUGAUAUAAUGUUUGGUCUUACUAGAUUCUCGGUUUCAAUCUUAUAGGGAUGUCUAUGUCUGAAGGUCACAUUAAAUGUCAGUUUUGUCAACACUUCAGGAGUAUGUUAAGAAAUAAGUUACAGUACAGGGUAUAAAAGAACACCAGAGAACACCUAAACAAGAGAGCUACAAAUACAGGGUAUAAAAUAAUCACCCAGAACACCUCUUAAAAAGAGUUCUCAAAAGGUCACAGUUUACUGAAUCAUGAGGAACACCUAAACAAGAGGCAACCAGCUAAACAAGGUACAUGAAUCAUUAUCAAUGAACCACAGAAAAUAGAUAACAGACUUAACAA